rnacentral:rRNA from 1 species
UACGUAGGGGGCGAGCGUUAUCCGGAAUUACUGGGCGUAAAGCGCACGCAGGCGGUUCGCCAAGUUUGGAGUGACAGUUGUCGGCUCAACCGACAAAGGACUUCAAAAGCUGGUGAACUUGAGGACGAGAGAGGAACAUGGAACUCCAGGUGUAGUAGUGAAAUGCGUAGAUAUCUGGAAGAACACCAAUGGCGAAGGCAAUGUUCUGGCUCGUUUCUGACGCUCAGGUGCGAAAGCCAGGGGAGCGAACGGG